rnacentral:rRNA from 1 species
UGGCUCAGGAUGAACGCUGGCGGCGUGCCUAACACAUGCAAGUCGAACGGUUAAACCGGCUUCUGCCGGAAAUAAAGUGGCGAACGGGUGAGUAACGCGUGACCGACCUUCCCCCGCACCGGGACAACCGCGGGAAACCGCGGCUGAUACCGGGUACUCCGGGGCCCCGCAUGGGGGCCCCGGGAAAGCUCCGGCGGCGGGGGAUGGGGUCGCGUCCCAUCAGGUAGUAGGCGGGGCAACGGCCCACCUAGCCGACGACGGGUAGCCGGGUUGAGAGACCGACCGGCCACAUUGGGACUGAGAUACGGCCCAGACUCC